UCUUAUAGAGACUGUUAUAUUUCAUAUAGUUUCAUAUAGUUAGUUAUAGAAUCUGAUCAAGCUGCAUUCUUUUUGUGAUUGUUACAGAUUCUUAAAGAAACAGGAUUACUGUGGGAAUUACCUUAAUCUAGGAACACUAAAUUGGGAGAUUAAAACAACCUGCUUCUACCAAAGCAGUAAUUAAGUUUUCUACACAGAAGGGCAGCCUCUGGCUGUGUGUGGAUGCAGGGCAGAGCUGCUCCAAGCCCUGUAGCCACAGCCAGCAUUCUCCUUUGCUGUGCUGACCUGAGCUGUUGUCUGCUGGGUGAGGCUCCUUUGGCAUCAGGAGCAGCUUCUGUUCACCAGGGACUGGAAGCAGUUAACAGCAGAGGGAGAGCCUGCAGUGGAGUUCAGAGAGCAAAUUGUCCUUGGAGUCUGUGACUUCCUUCAGGUGUGACCUCUGCUUCCAGAACCAAGCAGGAAAACCUGCAACGUGUCUUUAUCUUCAGGGCAAAACUGCUACAGCCCGACAUGAGAUGAUGCAAAGCUGACCCUGCAGUUUGCAGCCGUGUUAAUCAAAAGACAUCUGUGGAAGAUGCUCUGAGGUGGUGUACUAAUGAAGUCCAAGCCUGAUAAUAGGUGCUCUUACUGCGCCCCGAGUUCUUGCCCUCCCUGGGAAAUGACAGUGACAUCUUUUUGUUACACACUGGAAUCUAUUACACCAAGCAAAUCUGUUGUAAAAGUAAUUUGUGGAUAAGGGGAAUUUCAAGAAGAGUUAUGAAGAAAGACUGCCAAGUAAAGCAGUAGUUCUGUAGGUUGACUGUUUCCUGGUGGAGUCUCCCCACUGCUGCAU